rnacentral:rRNA from 1 species
AUUGAACGCUGGCGGCAUGCUUUACACAUGCAAGUCGAACGGUAACAGGCCGCAAGGUGCUGACGAGCGGCGAACGGGUGCGUAAUGCAUCGGAACGUACCCAGUCGUGGGGGAUAACUACUCGAAAGAGUAGCUAAUACCGCAUACGAUCUAUGGAUGAAAGCGGGGGACCGUAAGGCCUCGCGCGAUUGGAGCGGCCGAUGUCAGAUUAGGUAGUUGGUGGGGUAAAGGCUCACCAAGCCAACGAUCUGUAGCUGGUCUGAGAGGACAACCAGCCACACUGGGACUGAGACACGGCCCAGACUCCUACGGGAGGCAGUAGUGGGGAAUUUUGGACAAUGGGCGCAAGCCUGAUCCAGCAAUGCCGCGUGCAGGAAGAAGGCCUUCGGGUUGUAAACUGCUUUUGUACGGAACGAAACGGCUCUGGUUAAUACCCGGGGCUAAUGACGGUACCGGAAGAAUAAGCACCGGCUAACUACGUG